AUUGAACGCUGGCGGAAUGCUUUACACAUGCAAGUCGAACGACAGCACGGACCUCGGUCUGGUGGCGGGUGGCGAACGGGUGAGUAAUGUAUCGGAACGUGCCCAGUCGUGGGGGAUAACGUAGUGAAAAUUACGCUAAUACCGCAUACGAUCUAUGGAUGAAAGCGGGGGAUCGCAAGACCUCGCGCGAUUGGAGCGGCCGAUAUCAGAUUAGGUAGUUGGUGGGGUAAAGGCCCACCAAGCCAACGAUCUGUAGCUGGUCAGAGAGGACGACAAGCCACACUGGAACUGAGACACGGUCCAGACUCCUACGGGAGGCAGCAGUGGGGAAUUUUGGACAAUGGACGCAAGUCUGAUCCAGCCAUUCCGCGUGCAGGAUGAGGGCCCUCGGGUUGUAAACUGCUUUUGUACGGAACGAAAAGGUCUCUCUUAAUACGGGGGACUCAUGACGAUACCGUAAGAAUAAGCACCGGCUAACUACGUGCCAGCAGCCGCAGUAA
rnacentral:rRNA from 1 species